rnacentral:lncRNA from 1 species
UUUAAGACUAGCACAUACUCCUUUUGCUAAUAUGAGACAUAUUUCUGGUUUGUCUUUUCCACUUGCUUCUAAACAACCUUUUCCUUGUUCUGUCUGCCUUAUGGCCAAACAGACUAGACUUCCUUUCCAUGACAGCAGUAUCAGUACUACUAGACCAUUUCAAUUAAUACAUGUGGAUACUUGCGGGCCUUACCACACUUCUACUUCUUCUGGUUAUAAGUACUUUCUUACUGUAGUUGAUGAUUUUUCUAGGGCAACCUGGACACACUUAAUGGGAUCCAAAAGCAAUGAUUUUCCCUUACUUAAGUCUUUCAUCUCCUUUGUUAAAACUCAGUUUAACACUGUGGUCUAGAUUGUUAGAAGUGACAAUGCCUUAGAAUUGGGAUCCAGUACUGAGGGCAGAUCCUUUUUUAGUAGCCAGGGAUUAUUCAUCAAACCUCCUGCCCUCAUUCACCUCAACAGAAUGGGGUUGUUGAAAGAAAACACAGGACACUUAUUGAAACAUGUAGAGCCCUGCUUUUUCAGUCUGGCCUACCUGUGUCCUUCUGGGGGGAUUGUCUGCUCACUGCCACCUAUCUCCUAAAUAGAAUACCUUCCAGAAUCCUACACCAUAAGUCUCCCCAUGAAAUUUUGUAUGGCAAAGCUCCAUCAUAUUCCCAUUUGAGAGCAUUUGGAUGACUUGCUUAUGCUGCUGUCCCUAUNNNNNNNNNNNNNNNNNNNNNNNNNNNNNNNNNNNNNNNNNNNNNNUAUGGCAAAGCUCCAUCAUAUUCCCAUUUGAGGGCAUUUGGAUGCCUUGCUUAUGCUGCUGUCCCUAUUCCUCAAAGGGACAAGUUGAAACCUAGAGCUUAUUCUUGUGUUUUUCUGGGUUACCCCUUUGCCAAGAAGGGUUAUAAACUUUAUAAUUUGUUUACCAAGAAGUGUUUUGUUUCUAGGGAUGUUGUCUUCCAUGAAACUUAUUUCCCUUUUAAGAACACUCCUAAUGUUGCUCACCCUUCUUCUUCAUAUUUUCCUUCUAUUCCUCCUGUUGAUGAUUUCACUGCCUCAGACUUUCCUAUAUUUACUUCCCCUGAUUCUCAUGUUCUUCCUUCUAAUUCCGAUUCUCCUGCACCUGCUUUUCCUGAUGCUGGUCCAUCUUCCCUUCCUUCUUUCCAUCCUGAUCUCCCUUCUCCUGUGUUAGCUCCUUCCCAUCCUCUUUCCACACCUAGACCUCCUUCCUAUCUUAAGGACUAUGUCUGUCAACUGCCUGCCUUUUCUGGCUCCUCUUCUUCCACUUUGGAAUCUGAACAUAUGUAUUACUCUCAAGCUGCAUCUGUCCCAGCAUGGCAGGAUGCAAUGAGACAGGAGUUUGAUGCUUUGGAGGCUAACCAUACUUGGGAUAUUGUUCCNNNN